UGUAUGUAUAUAGUGUAUCUGUAUGUAUAGCUUACAGAAGCUGCUUGGAUGCUCCUUUCCAGCCUUUUUACGUUGCAUCCACUUUGAAAUUUGAAUAUACCGUCUAUCGAUGGAUUCUUUUGCAUUUGCUUUUCCCUUUUGCUUAGCUUUUAUUGUUUAUUUAACCAUUAGCUUUAGAAAUGUUUUUUUUUUUUUUCUUUAUUUGCUAUUCUGGUCUGACGGUGAUGUUCUUUCUUUCUGUUUUGACCCAAUUUUACAUCAGCAUCAACCAAAUCUACUGUUUCCCUUCUCUCAACAACACUUUCCAGGCUUAUGUAUUUGGAGCUUUCUUUACAAACCGUUCCCUGCGUCCUCGUUUUCCCAAGCUUGGUAUUUUCGUCUGUGACUUGGGUAUUCAAGUAGGCGAAACCAUGGAAGAGACUUUUGUGCCAUUUCGUGAACUAAGGAAUGAUCUUCAAGGGAGGUUGAUGUGUUACAAGCAAGACUGAAUUGGUGGAUUCAAAUCAGGCUUCAGGACAUAAUUCUAUAAUACAUGGAACUGCCAGCAUUUGAAAGUUUCUGUGGAAUACACUCAAUCAUAGGAGGUCAGCUUUUGCUGAUUCUUGGAGUUGCAGAGCCAACUGUGAUUAUGUAUACGUUUGUGUUUGAUUUUGCUAGAGAUUGACUGGAUUUGGGAUCCAAGCUCUUUUUUAGCAUGGACUGGAUGCGUAUGUGUAUGGACAGCUGCAUUGUUGUUCCUCCUGGCUAUCUUAGGAGCUUGUUCCAUAAUAAACAGGUUCACUCGUCUUGCAGGGGAGUUAUUUGGGCUUCUUAUUGCAAUUCUCUUCAUGUAGGAAGCAAUCAAAGGACUUGUUGAUGAAUUUCGUAUACCUCAAAGAGAAAACCCAAAAUCAAUUCAGUUUCAACCUUCAUGGAGAUUUGCAAAUGGGAUGUUUGCUUUGGUUCUGUCAUUUGGUCUUCUGCUAACUUCAUUAAGAAGUAGAAAAGAAAGAUCUUGGCGGUAUGUAUCUGGGUCACUAAGAGGUGUUCCUUUGAUGGUUUUGGUCUGGACAGCUGUUUCCUAUAUACCAGCUGGAACUGUUCCAAAAGGAAUUCCCAGGCGUCUCUUUAGUCUGAAUCCAUGGUCCCCAGAAGCAUAUGAUGGACUGUCAUUA